rnacentral:rRNA from 1 species
UACGUAGGGGUGCGAGCGUUACUCGGAAUGACUGGGCGUAAAGGGCGCGUAGGCGGUUUGUUUAGUUAGGCGUGAAAUUCCUGGGGCUCAACCUGGGGGCUGCGCUUAAUACAGGCAGACUAGAGUGUGAAAGAGGGUCGUGGAAUUUCCAGUGUAGAGGUGAAAUUCGUAGAUAUUGGAAAGAACACCGGUGGCGAAGGCGGCGACCUGGUUCAUUACUGACGCUGAGGCGCGAAAGCGUGGGGAGCAAACAGG